CUCUCUCUCUCUCUCUCUCUCUCUCUCUCUCUCUCUCUCUCUCCCUCUCUCUCUCAACAUGAAAAGAAGAGACCGUGAAUCGUGAUGAUGAUGAAUAUUGGGCGGGGUUUAGAGAGCCACCGAACAAACUCAAGCGUGUGGAAGAAGAUGAAAACAGACGGAUUCCAAAUAACGACACCAUCGAUGGAAUUCACGAGAUAAUGAAUAACUUCACUAGAGGUGUUAAACAGAUAAAGUUCAAGACCAAUUCCAGACUUAACUGUUGCUGGAGAUGUUCGUAAGAGUACAACAAGUGGUCAUAUGAAGUGUAGGCGUGCUAAGGGGCGUAAGGGUCCAACAAUGACGACCAAGUGUGCUAUAAGGAUUCGCUUCCCGGAUGAUCAAACAUUAGAGACAACUUUCAACUCAACUGAAUCAAUACAAACUUUAUAUGAUGUAGUCAAGCUUGUUAUUGAUCAACCGGACAAACCAUUUUAUUUGUGUGAGUGUGUGAGUAAAGGAAUUAAAUAAUAAUU